GAUGAACGCUAGCUACAGGCUUAACACAUGCAAGUCGAGGGGAAACGACAUCGAAAGCUUGCUUUUGGUGGGCGUCGACCGGCGCACGGGUGAGUAACGCGUAUCCAACCUGCCCACCACUUGGGGAUAACCUUGCGAAAGUAAGACUAAUACCCAAUGAUAUCCCACGAAGGCAUCCGAAUGGGAUUAAAGAUUUAUCGGUGAUGGAUGGGGAUGCGUCUGAUUAGCUUGUUGGCGGGGUAACGGCCCACCAAGGCUACGAUCAGUAGGGGUUCUGAGAGGAAGGUCCCCCACAUUGGAACUGAGACACGGUCCAAACUCCUACGGGAGGCAGCAGUGAGGAAUAUUGGUCAAUGGGCGAGAGCCUGAACCAGCCAAGUAGCGUGCAGGAUGACGGCCCUAUGGGUUGUAAACUGCUUUUAUAAGGGAAUAAAGUGGGUCACGUGUGACUUUUUGCAUGUACCUUAUGAAUAAGGACCGGCUAAUUCCGUG
rnacentral:rRNA from 1 species